rnacentral:lncRNA from 1 species
UCCUAUAAGUAGGAAAAAAAUCGAUGACCCAUGACUCGUAAAGUCCCCUUGUAAGAUCAAUCUACGUUGAUAGAAACAAAUCAAUAGUCCGUAUACAAAAUACGAAAUAGUAUCAUAAAAAUUAUUAUCUGAUAGAAGACCCUUUUCAAUUUGCAUUUAUUUUCAAAGUUUUAUUUUAUAUAUAAAAUACUAUGUAAAAAUAAAGUGGUACAUUACAACACUUAGCAAUAUUGAUUUAAAUACUUUAUUUUUUAUUUAGAUUCACAUUAAUUUAUUUGUAUUAUAUUAAAUAUGUUAAACAGUUAAUUAAUUUUUAUCGAUAAAACCUGUCAAACUUGACCGAGGUCGAUAAUGCAGAGUCAUUCAUUUAUCCUUGUUCAUAAAAAUAUUUGCUUUAAAAGUUAUGUAUCUUAUACGUACAAACGAAUGCUACAUUGUAUUUUAAAGCAAAUAUUUUUAUAAACAAAUAAACUUUAAAAAUUUUUUUGCAUUUUUAAUCUCGAUCUAAUCGUCCUCGGAUUUAUUUGUGUACGUACUUUAAACGUGUAAAAUUUUCAAUUCUGUAAAUUCAAUUCGAAACUAAAUGGUUGAACAGAAUGUCAGUAAAAUAGAUAACUUUAGGAUCCCCUUAACAUAGAACUUAUAACAUUACAUAUAGUAGACUCUCGAUAAUUGGCCGAAACAGCAGAGGAAAAUUCUCGGAAAAGGCGUAUUACAAAGUUCUCCCGCGCAAACACGAUGCAGUCGUCUGCGUCGGAUCCAUAUGUAUAUCGUGUCAUUGCAUAAGUCACGUCCUAACUUAUUAUAUCUAAUUUCUGUAAGAAAUUGUAGCUUUGAUAUUUCCUUCUUUUAUAAUUUUCUUUGUGUUUCUCUAAUAUUUUUACAAUUAAGUACUACAUAAUUAAUAAUCAGUUUUAAAUGCGUUUAUUUUGAUAACGUCGGGAGAACACGAGCAAAAGUAAUCUCAACAGAGGGGUGCAGAGGGGGGUGUUACGCUGGGCCUCAGCAGUGAGAUGCGGGCCGAGUUUUUCACUCAUGCGCAUCAAGAAUAGCAAUAAUGCAGUGAUGUAUAAUGUGACUAUGGGCGCAAAAAUCUUGAUGCAAAAGUUUUAGCGAGAUUGUAACAGGACAAAAUUAGAAAUGUACAGAUAUAUUUAUUACAAGAGAAGUGCACCAAAUGUUAAUCGCGAAUGGAUAUGUGUUAUAUAUCAUUUCAAAAGUCUUGUCAAGUAGAAUUAAUGUGUGCAAUAUUUCGCUUAAAUGGCCCCUUUAGGCAGCGCUAUGUGUAAUGUAAUUUACAUAACUAUUUGGGUUUCUAUAAAAGCUAACUGGAGUUUUUGCUUCAAAAAUAGUAUCAAAUAAAAGGUGUCUACUAAUAUAAUUAGUUGCACAAGUUUUAUUUAGAAUAUUUUAUUUAAUUCAAGAUAAAUUGCAUUUUCUAUUUUAUUUUAAAAGGACAAAAAGUCCAAAAAGCCAAAAAGUUAUUGGCAAUAAGAUACUAUAAUAUAAAAUAAAUUGCACUUUUUAUUUUAUCUUAGAAACAAAAAUAAAGUAUAAAAAAA